rnacentral:rRNA from 1 species
AAUGAACGCUGGCGGCAUGCCUUACACAUGCAAGUCGAACGGCAGCAUGACCUAGCUUGCUAGUUUGAUGGCGAGUGGCGAACGGGUGAGUAAUGCAUCGGAACGUGCCUUUUAGUGGGGGAUAACGUAGCGAAAGUUACGCUAAUACCGCAUAUUCUCUGAGGAGGAAAGCAGGGGACCUUCGGGCCUUGCGCUAGAAGAGCGGCCGAUGUCGGAUUAGCUAGUUGGUGGGGUAAAGGCUCACCAAGGCAACGAUCCGUAGCGGGUCUGAGAGGAUGAUGCGCCACACUGGGACUGAGACACGGCCCAGGCACCUAGGGGAGGCAGCGGUGGGGAAGUUUGGAAAAUGGGCGCAAGCCUGAACCAGCCAUGCCGCGUGAGUGAAGAAGGCCUUCGGGUUGUAAAGCUCUUUCGGCUGGGAAGAAAUCGCACCCUCUAAUACAGGGUGUGGAUGACGGUACCAGCAUAAGAAGCACCGGCUAACUACGU